rnacentral:rRNA from 1 species
GAUGAACGCUAGCUACAGGCUUAACACAUGCAAGUCGCGGGGCAGCAUGGGGGUUGCUUGCAAUCCCCGAUGGCGACCGGCGCACGGGUGAGUAACGCGUAUCCAACCUGCCCUUCACCACGGGAUAACCCGGCGAAAGUCGGACUAAUACCGUAUGUUGUCCAUUGACGGCAUCCGAUUUGGACGAAAGGUUUGGCGGUGAAGGAUGGGGAUGCGUCCGAUUAGCUGGACGGCGGGGUGACGGCCCACCGUGGCGACGAUCGGUAGGGGUUCUGAGAGGAAGGUCCCCCACACUGGAACUGAGACACGGUCCAGACUCCUACGGGAGGCAGCAGUGAGGAAUAUUGGUCAGUGGGCGUAAGCCUGAACCAGCCAAGUAGCGUGCAGGAGGACGGCCCUAUGGGUUGUAAACUGCUUUUAUGCGGGGAUAAAGUGGCCCACGUGUGGGUUUUUGCAGGUACCGCAUGAAUAAGGACCGGCUAAUUCCGUG